AUUUCAUCUCUUUCAAAUUCCACUCCCCAAAAUCCUCUUCUUCUCUUUUGGCUUCUUCUUCUUCUUCUUCUUCUUCAUACUGUUUUUCCCUCUCUCUCUCUCCUCUUCCUCUCUCAUUCUCUGCUUUCUGCACUUCAUUUCCCUCCAUUUGCAUAAAAAAUCUAGGGUUUUGCAAAAUCAACCAUAAUUCACUGCAAAAAUAUUUAGGGUUUCGCAAGAUCAAGAAUGGAACUUCCUGAAGAACUCGAUGCUUUUAUCAAACAUUCAAUUGACAACAUCGUCGGACUUCCCGUACCCAAUGAAACUCUCCAAUUGAAGAUCCAAUCUCUCGAAACAGCAAAUCAUCUUCUUCGUAGUCAGUAUUUAAGCCUACUUUCAAAAUUGAAGCAGAAAGAUCAAGCCAUUGAACUUGCUAGGGGUGAGGCGUGUCUGAAUGCACAAGGAAUCAAGAAAUUUGUGGAGGAGAAUCAGAAAUUGGCGGCUGAAUGUGCGGCUUUAGUGGACCAGUGUUCGAAGUUGGAGAAAGAAUGUUCUUUAUACGAUCACGAUCGCGAGGCGUUGAUGGAGUUUGGGAAUGAGGCUGAUGAGAGGGCCAAGGAUGCUGAGAUCAAGGUUAAUCUUUUGGAAAAUGAUUUGAAGCAGCUUUCUGAAGAAGUUAAGUACUACAAGCAUCAAUGUGAGAUGCUUUCGGUUGAUUCGUUCAAGGAUGCCACAUCAAUGGAGCAAAGUUUACUAAAUACACUGAUUGCAAGUUUAAUGAACAAAAAUGAAGUGGCAAAGACAGCGUCAGCUUUUCUGGAGGCUAAUAGUGGGAUUGAAACUUGUAGUGAGUUGCUUAAAUUACGGAAUAGUUUGAGACCUGAAACUCAAAAUGUACUCUCAUUAGCUGCCCAAGUACAAACUCUACAGAAGGAAAAGGAACAUUUACGGAUUAAUCUACACAGAGCCGAAGAAGAGGUGAGGGUGCUGUUUGAGGAAAAUCAUGUAUUAGAUGACGAGAACAAAAGGCUGUUGAGGCUGUAUAAAUCGGAAAAGAAACGUGCUAGUUCAGGAGGGAAACAUGAUAGCAGCACCAAAACUAAGAACAAUAAAAGGAAAACCAGCCCUGGUAUGAUGAGUAGUCCAGUUGACCGGAAGAUUGAUUUUAGUGAUUCUGAUACUCCUCGGUAUCCUCUCUCUCCUCUAAAAGAGAACUCCCCUGGCCCCAAAUCCCAUAAGGGACAGCAGUAGCAGCACCAGCAACAAUUGUUGAUUAGUAUAGGGACCGAAAAGCGUUAUCCUUCAUUGAUUAUGUAUACACAGCGUUUCUAACACCACAGGAUAAACAGCUACUGAAAUUGAACUCUUGUUAGGAAUUCUAUACAUAUGUUUAUAGAAGCUGUUUGCUAAUUAGAGAAAGCUGCGUUCUCUUCAUCUACAUUUAGAUAUUGAAGUAAACAGUUUGCAAAAAAUUGAGGAUGAAGGGCGAUUCAUCGUGACUCACUAGUCAGUAACAUGAUAUGACAUGUAAUUAUGCAAAAGGUGGGAGCUAAUAGUAGAGGCAGUAGGCACCACCGACUCGGCAAUCACCCAGACAUCUACCACCUCGUACCUAAGCUGCCUAGCACCGUCGCCCAACACUACUAGUCUAGCUUCACCACCAUCAACCAAAUCUGACACCGAACUAGCUUCACCACAUGUCACAACCCGAACAACCUCCUCCCAAAUACUACCCAACUGUCCACAUGAACCAUCCUAUAUGACAGAUUCAUUUGCGGUCGGGAUGGCUGAUACCCCAAUAAGAGUUUCUGUCUCAAAGUGUUUCAAGCGACUUCAUAAUGAAAUGUUAAUUCAAUUUGUAAUUAGUUAUCCGAUAACAUAGAAAUUUUUGAUAUUAUAUUUAAGAGUUUGGCAAGCUUAGGAUUAAUUAUGUCCAAUGGUACAAAUUCUAGAUCAGGUAGAAGUUUUGAAAUGAAUAAAAAAAGAAACUAGUGGUUGUUAUU